rnacentral:rRNA from 1 species
GAUGAACGCUGGCGGCGUGCCUAAUACAUGCAAGUCGAGCGAACAGACGAGGAGCUUGCUCCUCUGACGUUAGCGGCGGACGGGUGAGUAACACGUGGAUAACCUACCUAUAAGACUGGGAUAACUUCGGGAAACCGGAGCUAAUACCGGAUAAUAUAUUGAACCGCAUGGUUCAAUAGUGAAAGACGGUUUUGCUGUCACUUAUAGAUGGAUCCGCGCCGCAUUAGCUAGUUGGUAAGGUAACGGCUUACCAAGGCGACGAUGCGUAGCCGACCUGAGAGGGUGAUCGGCCACACUGGAACUGAGACACGGUCGAGACUCCUACGGGAGGCAGCAGUAGGGAAUCUUCCGCAAUGGGCGAAAGCCUGACGGAGCAACGCCGCGUGAGUGAUGAAGGUCUUCGGAUCGUAAAACUCUGUUAUUAGGGAAGAACAAAUGUGUAAGUAACUAUGCACGUCUUGACGGUACCUAAUCAGAAAGCCACGGCUAACUACGUG